rnacentral:rRNA from 1 species
AAAUUGAAGAGUUUGAUCAUGGCUCAGAUUGAACGCUGGCGGCAGGCCUAACACAUGCAAGUCGAACGGUAACAGGAAGAAGCUUGCUUCUUUGCUGACGAGUGGCGGACGGGUGAGUAAUGUCUGGGAAACUGCCUGAUGGAGGGGGAUAACUACUGGAAACGGUAGCUAAUACCGCAUAACGUCGCAAGACCAAAGAGGGGGACCUUCGGGCCUCUUGCCAUCGGAUGUGCCCAGAUGGGAUUAGCUAGUAGGUGGGGUAACGGCUCACCUAGGCGACGAUCCCUAGCUGGUCUGAGAGGAUGACCAGCCACACUGGAACUGAGACACGGUCCAGACUCCUACGGGAGGCAGCAGUGGGGAAUAUUGCACAAUGGGCGCAAGCCUGAUGCAGCCAUGCCGCGUGUAUGAAGAAGGCCUUCGGGUUGUAAAGUACUUUCAGCGGGGAGGAAGGGAGUAAAGUUAAUACCUUUGCUCAUUGACGUUACCCGCAGAAGAAGCACCGGCUAACUCCGUGCCAGCAGCCGCGGUAAUACGGAGGGUGCAAGCGUUAAUCGGAAUUACUGGGCGUAAAGCGCACGCAGGCGGUUUGUUAAGUCAGAUGUGAAAUCCCCGGGCUCAACCUGGGAACUGCAUCUGAUACUGGCAAG